GGAUUAGAUACCCUGGUAGUCCACGCCGUAAACGAUGGAUACUAGCUGUUUGAGAAACUAAUCUCUUGAGUGGCGAAGCUAACGCAUUAAGUAUCCCGCCUGGGGAGUACACUGGCAACGGUGAAACUCAAAGGAAUUGACGGGGGCCCGCACAAGCGGUGGAGUAUGUGGUUUAAUUCGAAGCAACGCGCAGAACCUUACCUGGCCUUGACAUCCUGAGACAAUCUUAGAGAUAAGACUUCCACUUCGGUGGCUCAGUGACAGAUGCUGCAUGGCUGUCGUCAGCUCGUGCCG
rnacentral:rRNA from 1 species